UGCUCUUUGUUGAUUGAAAGCGAUCUAAUUUAAGUGUUUUAUUAGACGAAAUAUCUUUUAGAUUUAAUAUAUGAAAUGAAUGUGAUGUGUUAAUGAUAAACAGACAGGUUUGUUGUCCUCGAGCAUUUAAUUGUUAAAAGCGUUUUUUAUUGUCCUGUAAGGCCUGAAAGCUAUUAACGCGUGGACCGGAAGCGACUGAGGACAGUGAGGACCCCUGCGAGUCGGCGGACGUCAGCCGAUUCCCCUCAGAGUCGCUGUAUCGAUGCUCUCAGGAGCCCCGCUGCUUUCAAUUAACCUUUCGCUUUAGACCACUGACGCAAAUGCAGACCCGAUGAGAGGAGAUCUGAAUGUCUCGUCAAGUGCCGUAAACUGAGCUCGUACAGGCCGUCCUGAAGCUGCAGCGAGUGAAAGGAGAGACCGUCACUUGAAGAUUUCCUUCUACUGUCUUCAAGUGAGGCUAAAAUAUCCUUUUGGGGAAUUGCUCACAGAUGGUGACUUGAUUUAUAGCAGCGCACCUGCUGCACCUUCUGCUGAUUUCAUUACUAUACUCUACAUCUCAGUGCAGUGUAAAGGAUGUUGAUUCAAGAGCACGUUCUGCUGGCGAGUCUCGUGAUGAAUGCCAGUCAUUUGGAGCUCUAGGCCUUUCUUCACUGAUGUGUGUUUGACCGUGACACCUGAUCUAUCGGUCAUGUUUAUUUCCGUACGUUUUAUUCAAACGGGAGCUGGCGUUGGUGAAAACAAACGUGUUAAAGUAUCCAGUGGCAUCAAACGUGUAUAAGUGAGAAACUGGAGGGACACAGAUCGUUUAAAGAGAUAUUAAAUUAAUUGAACGCUCAUUUAAAUGUAAACCUUUAUAUUGUAGCUGUGGAGUGCUAUUCAACCACUAAGAAAAAAGAAACCGGAUGAAAAUAAAUAUUGUAAUAAAUACAUUU